GCCCCUUUAGCUCAGUCGGUAGAGCGUCUCCAUGGUAAGGAGAAGGUCAGCAGUUCGAAUCUGCUAGGGGGCUC
rnacentral:tRNA from 1 species